ensembl:snoRNA
CUGGCCCUGAAUCAAGGCCGGCAGCUUCCUGACGCUGUUGGUAUCAAGUAGGAGCCUAAAGAGAUGUCUUUCUAUGGUAUGUUGGCUAUUUCAGAACUUGGGCAGUUAAAUGGUCAAUCAGAAACAGCUUGAAGCAACC